rnacentral:rRNA from 1 species
UACGUAGGGGGCUAGCGUUGUCCGGAAUCAUUGGGCGUAAAGCGCGCGUAGGCGGCCAGAUAAGUCCGGUGUGAAAGUCACAGGCUCAACCUGUGAAUGCCGCUGGAAACUGUCUGGCUAGAGUCCGGAAGGGGCGAGUGGAAUUCCUGGUGUAGCGGUGAAAUGCGUAGAUAUUGGGAGGAACACCGGUGGCGAAGGCGGCUACCUGGACCGGUUCUGACGCUGAUGCGCGAAAGCGUGGGUAGCAAACAGG